rnacentral:rRNA from 1 species
UAUUGCACAAUGGGGGGAACCCUGAUGCAGCGACGCCGCGUGGGUGAAGGAGUAUUUCGGUAUGUAAAGCCCUAUCAGCAGGGAAGAACAAUGACGGUACCUGACUACGAAGCACCGGCUAAAUGCGUGCCAGCAGCCGCGGUAAUACGUAUGGUGCAAGCGUUAUCCGGAUUUACUGGGUGUAAAGGGAGCGCAGGCGGCGCGUUAAGCCUGGUGUGAAAGCCCGCGGCCCAACCGCGGGACUGCAUUGGGAACUGGCGCGCUGGAGUGCCGGAGGGGUAGGCGGAAUUCCUAGUGUAGCGGUGAAAUGCGCAGAUAUUAGGAGGAACACCAGUGGCGAAGGCGGCCUACUGGACGGUGACUGACGCUGAGGCACGAAAGCGUGGGGAUCGAAU